GAUGAAGAACGCAGCGAAAUGCGAUACGUAAUGUGAAUUGCAAAUUCAGUGAAUCAUCGAAUCUUUGAACGCACAUUGCGCCCCUUGGUACUCCAUGGGGCAUGCCUGUUCGAGCGUCAUUUACACCCUCAAGCUCAGCUUGGUGUUGGGCGUCUGUCCCGCUUCGUGCGCGGACUCGCCUCAAAUGCAUUGGCAGCGGUCUUGCCAGCUUCUCGCGCAGCACAUUGCGCUUCUAGAGGCUUUGGCGGAUCGGCGUCCAUCAAGUACACCCACAGUUUGACCUCGGAUCAGGUAGGGAUACCCGCUGAACUUAAGCAUAUCAAUAAGCGGAGGA
rnacentral:misc_RNA from 1 species